GAUGAACGCUGGCGGCGUGCCUAAUACAUGCAAGUCGAGCGAACAGACGAGGAGCUUGCUCCUUUGACGUUAGCGGCGGACGGGUGAGUAACACGUGGGUAACCUACCUAUAAGACUGGGAUAACUUCGGGAAACCGGAGCUAAUACCGGAUAAUAUUUCGAACCGCAUGGUUCGAUAGUGAAAGAUGGUUUUGCUAUCACUUAUAGAUGGACCCGCGCCGUAUUAGCUAGUUGGUAAGGUAACGGCUUACCAAGGCAACGAUACGUAGCCGACCUGAGAGGGUGAUCGGGCACACUGGAACUUAGACAAGGUCCAGACUCCUAAGGGAGGCAGCAGGAGGGAAUCUUCCGCAAUGGGCGGAAGCCUGACGGAGCAACGCCGCGUGAGUGAUGAAGGUCUUCGGAUCGGAAAACUCUGUUAUUAGGGAAGAACAAAAGGGUAAGUAACUGUGCACGUCUUGACGGUACCUAAUCAGAAAGCCACGGCUAACUACGUG
rnacentral:rRNA from 1 species